UCAAAUUUUAAAGUUUGAAUUCACAACUAAAAAUAGUGUUAGUCGUGAAUUUAAGUUUUAAAGUGUGAAUUCGCAACUAGAAAUAGUAUUAGUCGUGAAUUCAAGUUUUAAAUUGUGACACCCAAAUUCAAUUAAAAUUGACAUGUAUAUUUUUGCGGAAAAAUCAUGAAUAUAAAUAACUAUUUAAUGAGAAAUUCAUGAAAUAAUUUUUAUUUAAAAUAUUUUACUCAAAGUAACAUCUUUAGUUAAAGCUAAAUACAAAGUAUUUGAUUCGUCAUUCGACCUUCCACACGCCUCCGACCUUUAAAACCUGAAAAUGUUAAAUAUAGGAUGAGCAUACAGAGUACACUCAGUGUGAGAACAUGCAAUUAUUGUCCAAAUUAAUAAAACGGUAACACACAUGGCUAUUUCAUACAUAUCCUCAAUAUUCGCAUGUGGCAAUCCAAGGAUUUUAAAGUCCCGACCCUAUUUACGGACCCCUGGCGACAUCCUCAAUAUAAUGGUUGCAACCCUGUAAUAUGUAAUCGCAUUGUGGUAAUCCAAUGACCUUUUCGUCCUAGACCCUAUUCACGGGGCCCCUAGCGAUACAUAAUAACUGCAAAUCGCAUUGUGGCAAUCCAAGGACUGUGAAGUCCUAGAUCCUAUUUACGGGCCCCUAGCGAUAUCCUCAAAAUAUACGUCAUAACACAUAUGAUAAACACAUAUUAUUAAAAUGGACAAUAAAUAACCACGGCAUGUAUUUAAAUAAAUCUCACACCUGAAACUUUUGAAAUGUAAUUGCAAUAAAUUUAAAAUCCACGUUCUAGUCGCGCCGCACCAGCUGAAAGAGACAAAGCUGAAAUUUGUAGUGAGAGUGACAGAUUUGAGUUAUGUUGUGAAAAGAACAAAUGGAGAAAUCUGUUGAUGGUUUAUGGAUUGAAAAUAUGGAUUGAGAAUUAUUAAAUAAGGAUGAUAAAAUCCAGUUUAAAUAGAAGUAAUUUCGUGUACUGCGAUAAGAAGUAAAAGAUGGUACUUGCUUUCCAAGAAUUGGAAACUAAAUAUGUGGCUGGAGAUUGUACUAGCUGUACAAGUAUGAAUGUUCUUCAAGAUUAAGGCAAAGAAAUUGAAAUUGAAAUUAAAAUAUGUGAAUAUGUGGUUGGAGGUGAAGUAGAAUAGUGGCUAAAAAAGAAAACACGUCUCAACAUUUUUUUUUCCUGAAUGAAGCUGUAAAUUUUUUGAAACAGUAGAGAAAAAUGAAUGAUGAUAACUAAAAAGUCAUGGGCUCAUAUUGGGCUCAUUUAAACUCUAGCCCAAUAAAUGUAAGUAAAUAAUAAUUAAGGUCAAAUAUAGAAAAUUAUGCAAAUAUUUUUUUUUCAGGGCCAAUCUUUGAGCAUAAGAGCUUUUAUUUGUUAAAGUUAAAAUCUGUAGAUUUUAAAUUAUUUAUCUAACUAGGGGCUCGACUACGAACUCGACUCGUAGAUAUAUUUUUUAAUAAUUUGAAAAUUUAAUAAUUUCCAAACAAAAAUUGUAAAGAAAAUAAAUGAUUUUGGGCUGUGACAUAAAUAAAUUCACAACUAGAAAUAUUGUUAGUCGUGAAUUCAAGCUUUAAAACUUAAAUUCACGACUAAUAUUAUUUCUAGCUGUGAAUUAAGUUGUGCAUUCAUCGAACUAAUUGUGAAUUUUAGUUUUAGUUUUGAAUUAAUAGAUCUAGUUGUAAAUUCAAGAACAUUAAGUUGUAAAUUCAUAGAUAUAGUCGUGAAUUCAAAUAACAUUAAGUUGUGUUUUUUAGAUUUACCGUGGCCAUGUCGCCGGCGAGGUCCGGUGUGGCCGCCGGCGUCGCCUUACCUUAGUCACUCUCAUCUACCUUUUUUCUUAACGUAACACACUCUCACUUCCUCAAUUCCAAAAUACACUCACAAUAGAAUCGACCCCUAACUUCUUCAUUACAGUCGCCGCCUCCAUCGCGGUUCUGAAGUCGGCGAGGUGCGCCCGACCCCGACUCUCCUUUUACUUCAUCUCACUCUGGACUCUACCCUCUAAAUUUUAGGGAAAUACUAGAUCGAGCCCUAACUCUUCUUUAUCAAAAUCGCCGCCUCUCUCUCUAUGUUCCAGCGAGCUUAAAACUCAUCGUGUCGCCGUGUCUCCAUCUCCGGCAGGGCGGCACUUAUAGAUUCCAACCGCCAUCGUCUAUCUUACUCUAGCCGGAAUGGACAACAACCGAUUGGGCCAUACCUCUCACUCACUUGCUGAAAUAGAUCAGCCAUCGUCGCCUCUUCGCAAAUCCGCGAGCCGUUGCUACUGAUCUGCCGUCACCAACUCACCG
rnacentral:lncRNA from 1 species